GUCGCAGGACCAGCCAAACUAUGAAAAAAAGUGCGACUUAUAGUCCGGAAAAUAUGGUAAUAAUCUCCUAGUAUCCCUACCACCAACCCAAACAACCCCUAUCAACACAACAACAACUGCCUGGCCAACAAAUUAUACACUACCAUCAUUCAGCACAGAGGUCAGGGAAGCCCUAUUAAAAAAAGACCCAGCGUUUUAUAAGAAGGACAAGUCACACAUCCGGACUGAUCAGCCUUCUUUUUGAUGACAUGACCCGGUAUGCCUGGUAUCCAAACCAUAAAAUGUACAGUGAUGUCCUGGGAACACUAAUAACCUGGCAUCAAUUUCUUAUGGAUGGAAGCCUCUCUGGGCAUGCUGAAUAAUGCUGCUGUGUUGCUGCUGCCUACAUUGUUGAAAGAAACUCCCAAACUUUUGUACUGUAUCAAUGAG